AACGAACGCUGGCAGCAGGCUUAACACAUGCAAGUCGAGCGGGCAUAGCAAUAUGUCAGCGGCAGACGGGUGAGUAACGCGUGGGAACGUACCUUUUGGUUCGGAACAACACAGGGAAACUUGUGCUAAUACCGGAUAAGCCCUUACGGGGAAAGAUUUAUCGCCGAAAGAUCGGCCCGCGUCUGAUUAGCUAGUUGGUGAGGUAAUGGCUCACCAAGGCGACGAUCAGUAGCUGGUCUGAGAGGAUGAUCAGCCACAUUGGGACUGGGACACGGCCCAAACUCCUACGGGAGGCAGCAGUGGGGAAUAUUGGACAAUGGGCGCAAGCCUGAUCCAGCCAUGCCGCGUGAGUGAUGAAGGCCCUAGGGUUGUAAAGCUCUUUUGUGCGGGAAGAUAAUGACGGUACCGCAAGAAUAAGCCCCGGCUAACUUCGUGCCAGCCGCCGCCGUAA
rnacentral:rRNA from 1 species